GAUGAACGCUGGCGGCGUGCCUAAUACAUGCAAGUCGAGCGAACGGACGAGAAGCUUGCUUCUCUGAUGUUAGCGGCGGACGGGUGAGUAACACGUGGAUAACCUACCUAUAAGACUGGGAUAACUUCGGGAAACCGUAGCUAAUACCGGAUAAUAUUUUGAACCGCAUGGUUCAAAAGUGAAAGACGGUCUUUCUGUCACUUAUAGAUGGAUCCGCGCUGCAUUAGCUAGUUGGUAAGGUAACGGCUUACCAAGGCAACGAUGCAUAGCCGACCUGCGAGGGUGAUCGGCCACACUGGAACUGAGACACGGUCCAGACUCCUACGGGAGGCAGCAGUAGGGAAUCUUCCGCAAUGGGCGAAAGCCUGACGGAGCAACGCCGCGUGAGUGAUGAAGGUCUUCGGAUCGUAAAACUCUGUUAUUAGGGAAGAACAUAUGUGUAAGUAACUGUGCACAUCUUGACGGUACCUAAUCAGAAAGCCACGGCUAACUACGUG
rnacentral:rRNA from 1 species